GGGGGGGGGGGGGCUAGGAUGAAAUUUGAAAAAAAUAGGCAGGACAGGAAUUUUGAGUAAAAAAAAAGGCAGGAUGAGACACUUGCAAAAAAAAAAAGUCAGGAUGACAAUUUAGGUAAAAAAAAGUCAGGAUAAACUAAAAAAAAAAAAGGCAGGACCGAAUAGAGUGAAAAAUAAAAAGGCAGGACAGAGAUUACAACUAAAAAAAAUGCAGGACAAAAUAUUUCAUCCUAGCCCCCCCAUAAAAAUCAAAUGGUAGCUCCCUAAGCUCCGACGGCAUCAAUUAGGGAUUUGAUGGUCGCAAAUGAAGUUUACUGGCGACGCGUUAGCCAGUAAACUUUGAUGAAACUGACAGAAAACAACGUUAAAACAUGUAUUUAAAACCUGUCAUAUGCCGUCUACGCUUGCGCGUACGUCCCAUAGUAUCAAUUGUCAUUGUCAAUUGAUGCUAUGUAGGAAAGUGACGUUAUCC
rnacentral:lncRNA from 1 species